AGAGUUUGAUCCUGGCUCUGAGUGAACGCUUGCAAUACACUUUACACAUGCUAGUCGAAUGUUUUUCAAAGAACAUGGCGCACGAGUGAGUAGAGUAUGAGAAUCUAGCCCAAGAAUAAUGAUAAGAAUUAAAACUCGAAAAAUAAAAUGCUUAAUGCAGUUCUAGGGAUGAGCUUAUGUAGAAUUAGGUAGUUGGUAAGGUAAAAGCUUACCAAGCCGAUGAUUCUUAGUUGGCCUGAAAGGGUGUUCAACCACGUUAGAACUGAGAUAAGGACUAAGCUUUAAGCCAGCAGUGGGGAAUCUUGGACAAUGGGCGAAAGUCUGAUCCAGUGAUAUUGCGUAAAUGAGGAAGGCAAAAAAGAUUUAAUAUAAUUUAAAUUGGUUGUAAAGUUUUUUCGUUGCCGAGGAGAAUGACCGAAGUAAAAAAGAAGUUCCGACCAACUUCGUGCCAGCAGUCGCGGUAAUACGAAGGGAGCUAGCGUUAUUCAAAAUGAUUGGGCGUAAAGAGUUUGUAGGUUGCUUUUAUCGUUAUAGUUUAAAUAUUGAUUUUAUUGGUUAAUAGUAUCUAUAAUACGCGAUUGCUUGAGUGUAACAGAGGAUAACAGAAUUCUAUAAGGAAGAGUAAAAUCUGAUGAUUUAUAGAGGAAUGUCAGAGGCAAAGGCGGUUAUCUGGGUUAAUUGCACUGACACUGAGAAACGAAAGCGUGGGGAGCAAAUAGGAUUAGAUACCCUAGUAGUCCACGCUGUCAAAGAUGAAUGCUAACAUUCGGAUAUUAUUUCGGGUCGUCACAGCUAACGCUUUAAGCAUUCCGCCUGGGGAGUAUGAUCGCAAGAUUGAAACUCAAAGGAAUUGACGGGGAUUUACACAAGUGGUGGAACAUGUUGUUUAAUGCGAUUAUACGCGCGAAACCUUACCAGUUUUUGAAUUGGAAUACACCACAUUUAGCAGUGUUGGUGAUUUAAGUGUUUUUAAUUAAAAUAUUUUAAGAAAGUCUAAACAGGUGCUGCAUGGCUGUCGUCAGCUCGUGCCGUGAGGUGUUUGGUUAAGUCCUUUAACGAGCGCAACUCUUUUUAAAUUUUUAAGUAUUUUUUUAAAAAUUAAAAUCGAAUUUAAUUUAAUACAACCCUCAUUUUGUGAGGGGGGAAGGUGAGAAAGAUGUCAAGUCCUUAUGGCCUUUAUAAACUGGGCAACAAACGUGUUACAAUGACAAUUACAAAAAGCUAUGCAAUAGUGUGAAAUUAAAGCUAAUCUUUAAAAAUUGUCGUGUUCGGAUUGUGGGCUGAAACUCGCCCUCAUGAAGUUGGAAUCACAAGUAAUCGGGAAUCAUCACGUCUCGGUGAAUAUGUACCUAAAUCUUGCACACACCGCCCGUCACAUGCUGGGAGUAAAUUUGGUUUGAAGUCUAAUCUUUUAGUUAUAUUAGAAAUUAAGUUAAUUCUUUUUCUAAGUUCAGCUGAGGUAAGGUUAGACCAUUAUAAGUUUA
rnacentral:rRNA from 1 species